GGCUUGGUGGUGGAUGGUCCAUCCCUGUCUUCUGUACCCAGUUGCCAUCCGACUUGAGCAGGAGAAGCCUGUUCGAAUCAGGCCCGAGCCA